UACCAGCACCCCGAGUGGUCGGGACGUUUAUUGGGCCUAAAGCAUCCGUAGCCGGUUCUAUAAGUCUUCCGUUAAAUCCAGCUGCUUAACAGAUGGGCUGCGGAAGAUACUAUGGAGCUAGGAGGCGGGAGAGGCAAGCGGUACUCGAUGGGUAGGGGUAAAAUCCGUUGAUCCAUUGAAGACCACCAGUGGCGAAGGCGGCUUGCCAGAACGCGCUCGACGGUGAGGGAUGAAAGCUGGGGGAGCAAACCGG
rnacentral:rRNA from 1 species